GCUUUAACAGAUCGGCCAAAUAACUGUGUGCAGUUUCAGCAUGAGAAAAAGCUGAUGCAAUUCAAUCACCACCACAUGGUUUCCUUUGCGUGGCAAAGAAAAAUACAGUUCCAGUCCGAUCGAUUUUUAGCCAGCUUAAAUUUCUUCAAUUAAUUAUUUAAAAAAGUUACUUGCAAUUAAACAGUGUACCCCUCGGCAGUACAUGCCUCCACGUGUCCCUGCCUUCAAAUGAAGUGACCCAGCCGUGGGGGUCACCACCACCAAGGACACUGAAAAUAACCUGUUGUAAAUAUCCAAGGUGUGCUAAAACAAAACAUAAAAAUCCGGAAGCUCAGUUUUAUCAAUUUCCAUCCCAGCCAGACAGAUUCAAGAAGUGGUGUGAGUAUUUGGAUCUCGAUUGUCAAAAUGUUCCCCCCGUCUCCAUGAUUUGCGACCUACAUUUUAAGGAUGAUCAGUUUAACAAUUCUAAGAAGACUAAAACCAUCCGCCCUUCCAUCAAGAUUUUUUGUGUCGCAGGAGCAAUUAUUAACAGUUUCUACACCCAGUGAAAUUAUCCGACCUAGUCCCAGUAUUAAAUUCAUCCCUAUUUUACCAAAAGAAGUAACAUCAAUUGCCGUGUCACCGCCGUCGUUGGACGUGUCGCAGCCGAAAAUUAGUGGAAGCUUCGAGUCGCCUUGCUCCCCAUCGUCAUCCGUAUCUAGUCCUCGACCUCAAUCCAACAUUUCGUCACCUGAAACCAGUCCAAGUUCAACCACGGACAACAAAAAAAGGAUUCGCCAACUGCAACAGAAACUUCGUCGACCGAAGGUAAAAGUUCAGCCAGAAAGGAUUAUGGAAAGUCUGAAUGAAGUUAUGAAUGAUGCAUACAGGACCAGUAGUAUUAACGGGCAAAGACGCUUCACAGGAUUGAUUUAGAAGUAGCCCAAAACUAUUUUUAUUGAAUUUAACUGCAAAUCCAGACAUUCCUUGUAUUGCUCGGUUUGUGAAUGUCAUGUCCAUAUAUAUUUUACUAUUUCUGAAAUAAACGUACGAAAUGAGUGAAAA